AGUGAACGCUGGCGGUAGGCCUAACACAUGCAAGUCGAACGGCAGCACAGUAAGAGCUUGCUCUUACGGGUGGCGAGUGGCGGACGGGUGAGGAAUACAUCGGAAUCUACUUUUUCGUGGGGGAUAACGUAGGGAAACUUACGCUAAUACUGCAUACGACCUACGGGUGAAAUCAGGGGACCUUCGGACCUUGCGCGAUUGAAUGAGCCGAUGUCGGAUUAGCUAGUUGGCGGGGUAAAGGCCCACCAAGGCGACGAUCCGUAGCUGGUCUGAGAGGAUGAUCAGCCACACUGGAACUGGGACACGUGCCAGACUCCUACGGGAGGCAGCAGUGGGGAAUAUUGGACAAUGGGCGCAAGCCUGAUCCAGCCAUACCGCGUGGGUGAAGAAGGCCUUCGGGUUGUAAAGCCCUUUUGUUGGGAAAGAAAAGCAGCAGGUUAAUACCCCGCUGUUCUGACGGUACCCAAAGAAUAAGCACCGGCUAACUUCGUG
rnacentral:rRNA from 1 species